UUGUAAUUUCAGAUUAUUUCACUUUUGAUCUCUCAUUUUACGUGUCAUGUAUGCAGAUUCUGCUGACGUGGUGAAAUGAGAGACUAAAAGUUGAAGAAUCUGAAAUUACAG
rnacentral:pre_miRNA from 1 species